UACAGAGGUCCCAAGCGUUGUUCGGAUUCAUUGGGCGUAAAGGGUGUGUAGGCGGCGCCGUAAGUCAGGUGUGAAAUCUCGGGGCUUAACUCCGAAACUGCAUUUGAUACUGCGGUGCUUGAGGACUGGAGAGGAGACUGGAAUUCCCGGUGUAGAGGUGAAAUUCGUAGAUAUCGGGAGGAACACCAGUGGCGAAGGCGGCGACCUGGACAGAUAUUGACGCUGAGGUGCGAAAGCGUGGGGAGCAAACAGG
rnacentral:rRNA from 1 species